UCUAUCGACAUUUUUUUAUGUCCCUUUUUAUGACCAGCUUGGUCAUUUGGUCUGGAUGGAGUCAUUCAACUCGGAAAGAAAAAAGAAUUUGAGAAUGCUUUAUCUUUCAUGCAAUAGUUGCGGUCAAUUGUUCUUGGUUUUUCCUGUAGUAGUUGAUAAUCAGUCUGAACAAUAGUAGAUUAGUAAAGCCAAUAGCAGUUAAUUUGAGACGACUUUUAUCUUCCCUACAGUAGUUAAGGUUGAUUGUUCUUAGUUUUCCCUGUAGUGUUUAAUUUGAUUGUUCUGAGCAUUCAAAUUGUACUCUGUUUGUUUCUCUCCUACUCUUUUCUGACAAAUGUUAUUAUCUGUGCUUCAUUACUACUCUCUCUAAAUCAUGUGAGAGUUGAAUGAUGUUGCAGGAUAACUAUUGAUGGUGAAAAGAUUGUUGUUUUUUAUACUGGUAUAGGGGGGGUAUAAUACAAAUGGUCCUUCAAAUCCAGUUGGAAGCUCCUCCCUGUAAUUGAUGAAGGCAGGAUUUACUAUUUCUUGGGAGUAAGAGGUUUAUUUGUUGAACCAUGAUAUCUAAGGGAGUAAGAGGCAACGUCCAGGGGUAUCUAAGAGAGCUGGUCCAGGCUUGAUGGAAAUCGCUUAGUACAUUCAUGGGAUCACAAACUUUUGGCGUUGGUUGAGAUUAGUGACGCAUGACCAUUAAUAACUAGAAGACUGUGACAAUUAACUUACUGUUUCAUGAAUUAGAGAGGCUGGGUUGGACCAACUCCAUGUUACAGGCCCUUUCCUCAUUGCAUUUCUCUUGACAUUAAAUUGAUUAAAUUAUAAUUUCAGUAGGAAAUCUACAACAUACUCAAAUCAUUAUGAUUACUCUUUCCUGUUUUUGUUUCUAUAUCUAAUUGAUAUAUAGAUUUUGCAUCUUGUCCUAUGACAUGUACUUCUGUAGUUGUGUCCAUUGGACUUACUCUUUUCAUUGUGGCAUCAUGAUUCCUCCUUUUCUUGGCUUGCUAUAUAUGUUUGUUUCAUGGUCCAGUUGGUGUUCCAAAAAUAUGCUCAAUUGUUAUAUGUAUCAAAUACAGUCUCUCCCAGUGGUGUACCAUCUGCUUAUUGUUUUACAUACAGUCGCUUGAUUAUUUUUGUUCCUCUAUAGGCCUCUGGUCUUGUCUGCAGUGUACGGCUAGGUUGUUCGUCCGCCUGGGUCGUAGGUUCUUUCCUUCCUGUUGACGGCAGGUACAAGACUCGAGCAAUGGUUAACGGGCAAGCACUAUAUACACCAUUCAUCUAUGCUAAUAUAGCCCGUCUUUUAAAGCCAAUGUAUGCUAUCACCAAUUGAUCGGAAUAUUUUCUUUCAAGCAUAGCUUUCAUGUAAUGGAAUAUAAGUAUCUUUAUAAGUUGAUUCUAAAUCAAUCUCAUACACAUACUUUGAAUGCUUGGCUCGCUCUCGCUUUUUGCGCCAUGGUCAAGGGUGCAACGAUGACUCUGUCUAAUGUUUAUCACUUCAUAGCGCCUAUAUGUGACUAUCUACUUUGUUUGCUAAUAACAUUGUAAAUAAUUAAUCGUAAGCUUCUUAGAACACUAUGUAUCAUUACUAAGUAUCUAUCUACCAGCAAUAAGUACUUAUUUUCAUAUGUUUCAA